rnacentral:rRNA from 1 species
CGUGUAGGCGGCCAAGUAAGUCGGGCGUGAAAGCCCUGGGCUUAACCCAGGAAGUGCGUUCGAUACUGCUAGGCUUGAGUACGGGAGAGGGUAGUGGAAUUCCCGGUGUAGAGGUGAAAUUCGUAGAUAUCGGGAGGAACACCAGUGGCGAAGGCGGCUACCUGGACCGAUACUGACGCUGAGACGCGAAAGCGUGGGGAGCAAACAGGAUUAGAUACCCUGGUAGUCC